GGAGCGAGCGCAGCAUCCGCCUGCGCCACCGCCCGCCCCUUUCCAAAGCGACAUCCGCGCCACCUGCCGCCCCGCCCCGCCCGGCCCGGCCCGGCCCGGCGCCAGAGAUACCCUCCUCGGCAGGCAGAGGCGCCCGGGGCAAGCCAUCAGCACUCGAGGAGCCCCGGCUGGACCGGGGGAAGCAGCGGAGCUGGCGGAGCCCCAGGCGGGCCGGGCCGAGCCCGGGGAGGCACCCUGCCACCGAGCGGCCCCGACAGUGACUCCGGCGGUGUGGCCGCACGCUGCCGAACGGCGGGUUAAGUGCCAGAAAAGCAAUCCAGCUCCUCGAUUUUUCCAUGCUCGCCGACCUCAAACUAUGCUCACGUUGGAAGGGGAAUUUGUAAACGGGCAGGUUGCGAUGCAGGACCGACCCCAGCCGGGCUCAGGAGGGACAAGGCCCGGCCUCCGGGAGUCCCUCAUGGUGGGAGUGCACCGCAGGCAGAUACACUGAGAGGUGUCUUGCACGCAAGGCCUGCAUAUAAACAUCCUUUCACUGAUGCUAUAUGCCUACUUUUGCCUCAGAGAUCUCACGUUGAGAGAUAUUGCCAAGAACGUUUCAUCGUGCUGAAAUGAGCUGAAUGACAUAUCAGAACUUCUAGAAGUCAUCCAUGCAAAUGUGUCUAACAGCAUGGAUCCCUUACAAAAAUUCAGUGAUCUAUCCACAUUUAACACCGUGAAAAAAGUGUUCAUGGUCAUCAGAAUAACCAAUAAAUGGGAGAAAAAUCAUAGUCUGGUCUAAGAUGCUUCCUGAGCAGGACUUUUAUACAAGAUGCUGUCAAACUGAUCAAAGUUCUGAGGGGAGCACUGAGACGGUUGGUGACCAUCUGCAAGCAGCAGCUGCAGGGUGAGGCUUUUUGAGCCUGGAGCAGAUAGCUUCAAGGGCAAUUAAUUGCAACCUCCAGUAUCUCAGAGAGAAGGGGUGGAAAAGAUGGAAGUGGGCUUACCACAGCAGACCACAGCAGAAGGGCAACAGACAAAAGACAUCAACUGAAACAGGAAAUUCCUGAUGGAUGUUAGAAACAACAUGUUUUCCCACUGAAGAUAAGUCAAGAGGCAGAGCAGGUUGCAAAGAGAGCUUGUGCAGUCCACCCUUGGAGAUUCUCAAGAUGAUCUGGUGCAAUCUCACAUCUGACCCUCCUUUAAGCAAGAGAUUGGACCAGAGGUCUCCCUACAUCCCUUCUAGCCUGAAUGAUUCAGUGCUGCUACAGAAGUCAUUAUGUCUGGUUUCUGAGGUUAUGUAAGGUGAUAUAUCAAUUAUCCUGAUUAUCCUGCAUACAAGGAUGAAGUUCCAAGCUCCAGAGAUUCACUUGUCUAGUUUCCUGAGAUAGGGCAAUAUAUGCCUCUUUUUUAUUAAUUAAAAUUAUCUGUGUUACCUGUUUCUCCUAUGUCAUCCAUACUCAUUUCAUCCAGCAUAGAAGCAUUUUCAUAUAACUAACUGGAUCGGUAUAUGCAAAAUGCAAGAAUAUUUGUGCACCUCUGAAUACAAGUAAGCUGAAGUCUCGUUAGAAAAAGUUCAAAAAGACAUUAAUGGAAGAGCUCUUACCCAGGAAAAUUACAAACCUGCUGAUUAUUAUGGUGAUAUUCCUAAAUUCUGGCUAUGAAAAUUAUGUUAAAUUUCAGAAUUCCAACAGCAUAGCAUGCUGGAAAGUCAAGAUGUUGACACUAAGUCAACACUUAAAUGCAAUUUUAAAAAAUGCUUUUAAAAAAAAACAAAACAAAAAAUGGACAGGGUAAGCAGUCUAACCCUGUUUUAAUGACUAAUGACAGAUGUCUCUUGUCCUCUGACUUUGGUGAGUACCAAAUCUGCACAGAUUUAUACAGAGAGCAAUCUAGGUUUAACAGUUGAUACAUAUGUUAGGUAGAAAAUACAAUCAGUGAUACUGAGAAACGAGAAGACCAAGUUGGAUGGCGGUCUGAGUGACCUGGUCUAAUGUUCCCUGCCUAUGACAGAAGGGUUUGAAACUGGAUUAUUUUUAAGGUCCCUUCCGACCCAAACCAUUCUAUGUUCUAUUAGAAGAGAUCAAAAAUCAUAAAUAGAUUAAACUUACCUUAAACGUGUAAUCUUAAAAAUUUGUACAACUGUCUGGUCUUCGCUGUAUUCUCUGUAAGUUCAUAUUAUGCACUAAGGUGAGCUUUUAGCUUCUUCUUUAGCUAUAGGGGAAACCCAUUUCUAUUUUUUUUAACAUGGAAGAUGACUCUAUUAUGUAGUUGAUUUCAAGAACAGGAACUUCAAAAAGAAGAUAGAACAUUGAAUCUGAAAUUACAGUUAGGAGCAAAUUCUUGUACUUUGAUUAGAGCUAGCUACACAAUAUGAACAGGGGUUGUAAAGAACUCCAACUCUAUUGUGGAAGAAAUGAAACAGAAAAGGAAAGGAAAGAAAAAAAUACACGCCAUGUAUUGCAUGUAUGUGUACAUGCUGACUUCUUGUAGUAAUUGUUUUCUACACACAAGUAGGAACCUCUAAAUGUGUCAGCAUGUGGUUAUCUGACUCCAAUAGCAGGCACAAGAGGUACUGCCAAAAACUGAGGAAGGAAAGUGUCUGUUUUGCUAAUACCAGCAGUGCAAUAAAUGUCCUAAUUCUGCUAGGAAAUUAUGACUGAGUAAAACCAUGGUUGUAUAUCCUUCUUCACUGUGAUGGUUUAAUUUUAUCACCAUAAUAUUUUCCUUGAUGUUUUAUUGAUAAUUUUCCUUUUGUUAAACAUCGACCAAGCUAAAACUAUUCUGCACAUGAAACAUGCAAGCAGAAUAAAAUAAACAGUGAAAACCAAAAUCAGUGGCAGGCUGAAAAGAGACUGUUAUCCAAUGUCCACAUCUUAACCCAAGUCAACUUGAAGAAACUGGCAUGCUCUCCUAGCAAAAUCAUAACUAUUAUGUUUAUAUCAUUUCAGCUCAGAUGCAUGAUGAUACACAGAGGUAUAAUAUUAACUGGACAUGAAGACAAAUGUUCAGUUUGUGGAUCAAGAAUCUCACCAAUUCAAGAAAGAUGUCACCAGUUUCACAUGUUUUUUCCUGAAAAAAAUAGUUCUGUCUCUGUAUCACUGAAAAGUCCUCUAGGCUGCCUCUUAUGAUUGUCUACCAGGAUGAACAGGGAGAGGAAUGAUCCACAGAUGAUGUUCAGGAAAACCUAUUUACAGAUUUAAGGAAAGCACCUAUCUAGCAGUGCUGUUCUGAUUUGGAGUGCCAGUUACGCCAGUAAUACCACCCAGGAUGUUUUUCUAAUGGCAGAUGGCUUUUUAAGUGCUCAGUGUGAGCCUGAGGGCUCUCAGUUUUCUCUUAACAUUCUUUUUGUAAUGCAUCUUUAUCUUCUUGUCCAGAUGAGACAUAAAAUAGCAACAGGGUUUACAAUGACUAUCAGGAGGCUAAAUUCAUGUUGUAUUUAUUUACUAGACCAGACAUGUAAAGCCCACCUGCUUUUCAUCAAGUAUUCUAUUUAAAGAUUAAAUUCUAGGAUUCUCAAUAGCAUACUCCAGACAGUACAAACAAUAAGGUAGGCUUGAGGCCACAGAUAUACUGGCAGGCUUGGCUGGUUUGACCAGGUCAAAGGCAGUAAAGUUUUUUUUCCUGCUGUCAGCAGCCUCUCUCCCCUCAAUUGCUUUGUCUUUUCCCCACUGUGCUUUACCUUGGCAAGGAUAACUUGUGUCUGCCUGUACAUAGGCACACAUGAAACUACAAUAGAACAAGACCAUUCUAGAAGAUGUAAAAAACCCCAAACAUCCAGCUGUCUUUUCAAAAAGGGUACUUCCUUACAUAUGCUAUUAGAGCUCAUGUCUUGUACUGCAGAGAUUGGAGAGGGCAGGCUUGUAAGAUAAUACAUAAGCUUUACUGCAUCAAAAGCCUUCAAAGCAGUCAAGUUUUAUGAGGGUGCCAUAAACAGAAUUGUGGGAACAAAGGACACUUGUGAUACAAAGCAGAAGCCUUUGCUAAAUGGCUGUUAAAUGAAAAAUCAAAAAUCCAAUCAAGGAGAAAGACUGUAACUAGAGAUACAGAAUCUUUAUACAAUUGGAUAUGGAAAUCCCAACCAAUCUAAAAUGUUUAAAGACUCCUCAAGAUGCAUUUUAUUUGUUUGUGUGGGUUUUUUGUGACAUAUACAAUAAAUAGAGAAAGGGAGUGUUUAGGAUGGAUAUGUAUCAGUAGCACUGCCAUAUGGAAAUAAAAACAGCACUCUGGAAGAUCUUGGUUCAAACCUAAGGAGACAGCAUGCACAUACUAUUUUGACUUAGGGGGGAAAGAACCCAACAUGUAAAUCACUAUUCUACCUCAGUCUCUAGUGACUAGAACUGCCCAUGGUCAUUCUGAAAUCACAAGAUCAUAGAAUCACAGAAUCACGAGGUUGGGUGACCUGCAAAUCAUGAAGUCCAACCCAUACCCUAACCAUACCCUCAAUUAAACUGUGGGACUGAG